rnacentral:rRNA from 1 species
GUGCCAGCCGCCGCGGUAAUACGUAGGGCGCAAGCGUUGUCCGGAAUUAUUGGGCGUAAAGAGCUCGUAGGCGGUUUGUCGCGUCUGGUGUGAAAACCCAAGGCUCAACCUUGGGCUUGCAUCGGGUACGGGCAGACUAGAGUGCGGUAGGGGUGACUGGAAUUCCUGGUGUAGCGGUGGAAUGCGCAGAUAUCAGGAGGAACACCGAUGGCGAAGGCAGGUCACUGGGCCGCAACUGACGCUGAGGAGCGAAAGCGUGGGUAGCAAACAGGAUUAGAAACC